rnacentral:lncRNA from 1 species
UUAAUUUCUAUGCAUAGAUUGAUGAGAUAGGAACUGUUUGAACCAAUUGAAUUGCAUGAUUUUGGUCUGGAUUGUUGAAAGUAGUAAAAGAGUGGAGAUUAGGACCAUUUAGGAAAAGUUUUUGGAAAACCCUAGCCGCCACCGCUGAGCUGUCUGUUUUGGCACUAAGCGGUGGCACGGCUAGAGGCAAACCGCCUGGGCGGUCUUCAUGGACGUUGAGCGGUCUGCAACAGAUUUUGCCAAAAUGCUGAAAUUUUUGGAUGUUUGUCUAUUGAGGGGCCCUGUUUUGUGUGAUCUGAGUUAUAAAAUUGAUGAUGUACUAACCUCUAAUGAUGUUUCUGUGAAUGUUAUUUGGUUGAUUUAAUGUAGGAAUGUCUACCUCAAGAAGAGUGAAAACAAUGGGCAACAAAAGAAAG